AUUUAAAUAGUUUAAAUUAAAACUUUGAUUUGUGGAAUCAAGAAUAUAAAUUUUAUUUUAAAUU
rnacentral:tRNA from 1 species